CUGGCGGCGUGCUAAUCAUGCAAGUCGAAGCACGAAGUUGAAGAGCUUGCUCUUUAUCAAGUGAGUGGCGGACGGGUGAGUAACACGUGGGUAACCUGCCCAUUAGAGGGGGAUAACAUUCGGAAAUGGAUGCUAAUACCGCAUAGUUUCAGGAAUCGCAUGAUUCUUGAAGGAAAGGUGGCUUCGGCUACCACUAAUGGAUGGACCCGCGGCGUAUUAGCUAGUUGGUGAGGUAAUGGCUCACCAAGGCAAUGAUACGUAGCCGACCUGAGAGGGUGAUCGGCCACACUGGGACUGAGACACGGCCCAGACUCCUACGGGAGGCAGCAGUAGGGAAUCUUCCGCAAUGGACGAAAGUCUGACGGAGCAACGCCGCGUGAGUGAAGAAGGUUUUCGGAUCGUAAAACUCUGUUGUUAAAGAAGAACAAGGAUGAGAGUAACUGCUCAUCCCCUGACGGUAUUUAACCAGAAAGCCACGGCUAACUACGUGCCAGCAGCCGCGGUAAU
rnacentral:rRNA from 1 species